UACGUAGGUGGCAAGCGUUGUCCGGAUUUACUGGGCGUAAAGGAUGCGUAGGUGGAUAUGCAAGUCAGAUGUGAAAUACCCGGGCUCAACUCUGGUGCUGCAUUUGAAACUAUAUAUCUAGAGUGCAGGAGAGGUAAGUGGAAUUCCUAGUGUAGCGGUGAAAUGCGUAGAGAUUAGGAAGAACACCAGUGGCGAAGGCGACUUACUGGACUGUAACUGACGCUGAGGCAUGAAAGCGUGGGGAGCAAACAGG
rnacentral:rRNA from 1 species